rnacentral:tRNA from 1 species
GUCUCUAUGGCUCAGUCGGUAGAGCGUUGGUCUCAUAUUCAUUCAUAUGACCCUGCCAUAAGGUCGGGAUAUCCAAAGGUCGCAAGUUCGAGCCUUGCUAGGGACA